rnacentral:rRNA from 1 species
ACGCUCGACACCUACGGGAAGCAGCAGUGGGGAAUAUUGCACAAUGGGGGAAACCCUGAUGCAGCGACGCCGCGUGGAGGAAGAAGGUCUUCGGAUUGUAAACUCCUGUUGUUGGGGAAAAAGAGGAUGGUACCCAACAAGGAAGUGACGGCUAACUACGUGCCAGCAGCCGGGUAAUCUGAGCGGGCUGGCAAGGC